UAAUAGCUUCACCACAAAUUUCACAAACUCGUCAUUCUUCGACGAUCCAUCGCAAGAUCCAGAAACUCUCCAGAUCUUCCUCUUAAUUACCCGGCAAUCUGCAUCAGGGAGGAAAAAUUCUCGAUAGUGCCAUGCUCCCCAAAUUUUGAUUUGAGUGACAGCAACGUCAAACCUAACGUUCAAAUGCGACAAGUAGUUGACCGUUAGUGCUGGAACCAGAAGACUAUGGAAGCAUCAUUGGCUUAACCACCAGAUUCACAAACUCGUUCGGCUAUGAUCUCGCAAGAUCCAAGCAGCCCUGCAAAUCAGCAACAAGGGAAGCGUUGCAACAUUAGGAAAAGUCUGUCAAAAACAAAGUCAGGAAAGUCAUUAUGGUCAGACUGUGACGGUACCAUAGAAGGGGGGUAUGAUGCAGGUACAUAUUUCAUUAACAUUUAAAACUUGAAAAAUGCUUCUUUUAUAAGCCCAUUUAUGUUCUGCAAGUUUGAAAAAUGCUUCUUUUAUAAGUCCAUUUAUGUUUUGCAAGUUGUAAUUUAAUUUUCAUACUACUUUAAAUAUAAAAUAUGAUACUGAACCAUCCACUAACAAUCAAAAAAUACGAAAUGUGGAAAAGUGAAAACCAUUAAGUCAAAGCUUAGCUUAUCAAUUCCAAGGAACUCAACAUAGGUCAGAUCUCUACGUUUCAAGCGAUGGAGACAUAUGGGGACAUUGGAAUCAGCAUGAGAAACCUUCCCCACUCAAGCACAACUUAAGUCCUUAUUGAGUGCCCCAUACAUGAGUUGAACCAAAAUGACAUGCCUGUCAACCAGUACUUCAUAGACUCUUAAAAAUAUCUUUAUGCCAUAGAGGGAUAUGUGAAGUUCACACACUUCUUUGUUGCUUUCCCAUUCAAUAGUUGGGGGAUGAGACAUGCACACUCUUCUAUAUCUCUGCUGAGAAAGCUCCUUUUAUGUCUAAUCAAUCUUUGUAGAAAGAAUGGGGAGAGGACUUUGAUGGAGUCAAGCCUGAACAUUGAGGCAAACUUGAUAGUCUAUUCCUUGAAUUUAAGUCAACAUCUCCCAUAUGUCUCGUUUAUGGGUUUUCAUUUCUUCUACUAUUGCUCUUUUCCACUGUGUUUCUGAGCUUCAUGAUACGAGAUUUUCAUCAGGAUGUUGACCGUGAGCAAACGUGACUUGAUGUAGAAAAGUGGAGAAGUCCCACAUUAUAUAGAGUUAGGCAAGGUUUAUAAGUGAAACAAUUCAUAAACCAUAGCUUCAAGGUUUAGGGUUGAGAAGGAGUGUUGAGCCCACUUAUAUGCAUUCUCUUGUUGCUAUUGGGCCUAGUCGGAUUGUCCCCAUUUUCUGGAAGCUUCCUAGGCCCAACAAAAUAGCACCAAAGGCCUUGGUUUGUCAAGGUCAUGGAUGAAGAUGAUAAAAAAAUCAAGUUUGAACAGCAUCCAUAUCGAAAGUUCAAUUGUCAUGAAAGUGGGCUAAUGCCUUCAAAAUAUGGCCAGAUAGGAAGAGAAUGUUUGUGGUCACAUGGUUAACUCUCACUUGAGGGAGGAAUUGUUGUGAUAUCAAGUGUGAGUGGACUUGACUCGAUGGGGAAAGGCGGAGAAGUCCCAUAUUGAAUGGAGCUAUGCUGAAAAAGAGGCAUAUAAAAGAAAGUAUAUAAGUGAAGGGUGUCAAGUUUACUUAUAUGAAUCCUCUUGUUGCUACUAGGUCUGGUUGGAUUCUCCCUCUUUUUUGAGAUGCUUCUUGAACCUAACAAUGAUAUUUAUGAGACAUCGUCCAAUUUGAUGUUGAGUGCGAGAUUCGAUAUUCUUCCCUAAGGAUGUAGACCAAUUUAAUUCCCCAUUAGCCCUUCUACAAGAUUCGUGGUGUCACUCAUGAGAAUGAGUGACUAUAACCUCACGAGUUUUCCUCUUUAAUAGACAUAAGGUCAUGCAUAGUUUUCAAUAUACGGGUGAAUUUGGUCAUUCCUAGGGGUCAAUUUAGUUUCAGAUUCAUCAUGACUGUUUUCAACGGUACACUAGAAGACCAAAUCAGAUCAAUUCAUGCUAAUUAAAUCACAAGUUGCACUCUCUCGAUUACACUUUUAAUUAUGAGCUUUCAUUUAGUGUUCAUACAAAAUUAUAACACUAAAACAUCAUCAAAGCAAUAUAGACUAAAUACAAAAAAAAAAAAAAAAAAACUAAUAGACUAAAUCAAAACACACACACACACACACACGCAACUACAAUACCCCACUUCAAUUUUUAAUUAUGAGCUUUCAUUUAGUGUCCAUACAAAAUUAUAACACUAAAACAUCAUCAAAGCAACAUAGACUAAAUAC